CGGCUCCGCGCCCCCUCCCGGCCCCGGGCGCCCGCAGGCCGGCUCGGAGCGAGGACUCCGAGGCCCCGGCGGCGGCCAGGCCGGUUCGGCGAGACGGGAAGCGACAGGAGCCAAACCCCGCGGUUCCACCUGCUUGCGACCGAGAGUAACCACUGAAGUGCUCCUGACAGGUGACAGACGGAGGGCAGGCUUUCUCAGAAAAACAGUUCGAGGAUGACCCCCUCCACUGCAACAAAGGAGUGAUGAAGGAGGCCUGAUAGCAGAGGUGAAGGUUACACCCAAGACAACCAUGGUAGGCAGAGA